AUAUAGAACCGUGGGGUUCUAUACUUGGCCAAUAGAACCUUUUACCAAAAAAAGGGUUCCAUAUAGAACCCUUGGAAGGCAAAGAACCAUUUUUAUUAAAAUGGUUCUAUAAUUCACGUUUUGUGACUGAAGUGUAAACUAAAGAUUACACAAUAAUUGCAGACCUACACAACUCAUUUACAAACCUACACAACUCAUUCACAAACCUUUUUGUGUCAAUAGGCUGUGGUCAAAUAAAGAGAGAGUCAACAAAUAGGCUAUUAAUAUUUAGUGUAUGAUUUAUUUCCUGUGAGCUUUUUUAUGCAAGUUUGUACAUUAGCAUGAAACUUACAGUGCAGUUUGCGUUUUUGGUGAAUUACCAGGUGUUUUCUUUAUUUUGUACAUUCUAAAUUGUCAAUGUUUAUUUAAUUUAACCUGAAGGGGCAUUAAAAACAAAUAAUCGCAAAAGUGCCCUCUGGUGGCGUAUAUAUGCGUUGCACCAUAAGCGAAGAUGAGCCUCGUGACGUGACAGUUUUUUUUCAAACUGAGGUGAGGAGUUCGGACUCCGGACCGGCAUUUGUUUGUACCCUGAGGUAAGUAAACUUUACAUUUUUGAAACGAUAUUACUGAAACAUUUAGUAUAAUUAAUUAAUAUUUAUUUUGUUAGAGUAUGUGUUGUGCUAAAUAGUGAUACUAGAAGCUACAUUUAUAAUAUUUACCUCAGGUAAAAAAUACUGCUGGUAACGUUGAAGCACUUGACGGGCUUCGUCAACCGUCAGUUAUAAAAGCUCUGUUAAAUACAUUUUGUUCCGGGUUUUAAUGAAUUACGUUACAGUCCUGCUUUAUUUCUUUGUCAUUUUAAAUUAAAUUGCCAAUCAGAAUAAGACAGCUGUGUUGUAAGGAGACGAAAUUCGAGACAGUCAUUUCAGUGAAGCGCGUGGUCAAAGGAACCGGGUGGAAGACGGUAGAAGGGAAAUUAUAUGUAAAUGUUUGUCGCAGUUUUACACAUAUUCCGUGAGUAUUUUUCGCUUGUUCACGAGUGUUUUAUCAGGGUUGGAGCUAAACUCGGAAGGAAAGUGGAAACUGCUGGCCAAAGUUGAGAACAUUCCGCCGGUCUGUAUUAUAAAUGCACGAUUGCAGUGCAGCGUUUGUAUCCGCAACAAAUAACCAUGGUUAAUAAAUGAUCAGACACGUCACUGGCUUUAAAAUAUAAACCCCAUUGAUGCAAAAAGAUGCUGCAUGGAAUGACAAUGAGGUUUGGAACAGACUUGAAGAACAUGGAAACAUCUCUCAAUAAAAUGGCCCCAAACAUCAUCAGGAGUGCAAAAGAAGGAAGUAAAAAACAUCUCUACGCCAAUCUCAUUGGAGAGGAAACCACAGAAGGUCUGGUGAGGAAUGCUGCACUUAUGUUAUUGCCAGCAUUAUUUCAAGAAAAUCCCAGCUUCCUUUACUGUGUAAAUAGUGAACCCAAAGGUCCCACAUCAACCAUAGUGUUCAACGGCUCUCCUGAUCUUCUCAAAUCUGAAAGUAUCAACUGUAUAAUGGACAAUGUGAACUUAAUAUGUGGAAGACAUUGACAUCACAGGCUGUGGAAUGACUGUGUCACAGGUCGGAGAAGCGGACCGCCCCUGUCGCGGAUCACGCUCCUCCUAGUUCCACCUCGAGGAGGUCCCAAAGCACCCCAAUGACCAGACAAACCAGAGAUAAGUAAAAUAUAAAAAUAGAAACUUUAUUUAAAUUAUUUAAAACUAAAGUGGGGAAUGGGAAUCUAAAAAUCUCGCUUCUCGCCCUCAGGGGGAGUAUUACGGGGCCAGGGACGUUGGAGGGGUUUCCACGUGACUCCAGCUGGAACACCGCUAGAGAGCGUAUCUGGGUGGGUUGGGCACACACCGUCGCGGCGGCCCCUGAUGGCAUCCACAAAGGUCCAAGACCCUCCUAAGCUCCCAGCCGUAGCAGAACUACGUAUUUCAGCACCCGAACGACUAACAACCCAGCCGGCAUCUGCAGCGUAUAUCCAACGCGAUCAAACUUCACUCUGACAAGUAACUUGCUAUACACAACCACGCCGUCCUUUCGCCCGGACCAGCCCCGCACUCUUUCCGCCCGCUACCUAGCGGUCGCCGGAUCAGCAGAGCCUGCGGACUCUUCGGACUCUGCGACCCUUACAGUAACUUCUACCUUCUCUCUUUAUAUCCUCCUCCAUGGCGUGGCUCGCCCAACCAUCGCUCGCCAUGUCACUCACACAGCUGUGCCUUGUUUCAGUGAGUGCGGGGAUUCCCGGGGAACCCGGAAGUGCCGGUGUCUGUACAAACCGGUCCGGGCGGAACCUCUUCACUCUCCUUUUGGUUCCGCCCCGCAUAGUCACUCCGUGACAACUGUUUGCGUUUUUUUUUCUCCUCAAUGUUCAAUACCCUUUUGCCAUUAAGCACACAGUGACAUUAAUUUAUAAAAUAUAUGCUUAAGUUUUAAUACCUGUACAAAACAAAUGUACAAUCAACUUGUGUAAAUUGUCAUUUUAUUUAAUAGAUUGUUCAUGAAUUGUCUUUAAAUGCAUUGUGAUUUCGGUAACACUUUACAAUAAGGUUCAUUAGUUAACAUUAGUUAAUGUAUUAACUAACUUGAACAAACCACGAGCAAUACAUUUGUUACAGUAUUUAUUCAUCUUUGUUAAUGUUAGUUAAUAAAAAUUUAAGCUUUAAUUGCUUGUUCAUGUUAGUUCAGAGUGCAUUAACUAAUGUUAACAAGAUUUUAAUAAAGUAUAAGUAAUUGUUGAAAUUAACAUUAACAAAGAUUAAUAAAGGCUGUAUAAGUGCAGUUCAUUAUUAGUUCAUGUUAACUAAUGUAGCUAACUAAUGUUAACUAAUGAACCUUAUUGUAAAGUGUUACCGUGAUUUCUUUUCAUCAUUUCAGACACAUGUAAAAGUUACUAAAACUUAGUACUGCCUAUACUGUACAGUAUCUAUGCGUAAGGGAAAUAACUUGAACAAAAUUUUUUAUGUAUAGUGUAAUUAAUAGUUUAGCUGUUUAAUACAGAGAUGCAAUAUAUAUAUAUAUAUAUGUAUAUGUAUGUUUAUUAAAAAGUGAAAAUGCUUAAUGGAAAUAAUUAAAUAACUAAAUGGUUGAAUGUAAUGAGACAUUUUAAAUGUAAACCAAAGUUUUGCUGUCUAAUACAGAAUAAAGAGAUGUGAUUUUAAGUAAUUUUUAUAGAUUUAUAUUUCUGUAUAAUACAAUUAAUAAAUAGUAAACUUUUAUAA